GGCAUCGUAUAAUGGCUAUUACCUCAGCCUUCCAAGCUGAUGAUGCGGGUUCGAUUCCCGCUGCCCGCUCCAAUA
rnacentral:tRNA from 1 species